AGCUCUGUAGUUCAGUGCAAGAACAAUAUCCUUCUAAGGCAUAUGUCACAGGUUGGAAUCCUGUCAGAGCUGCCA
rnacentral:tRNA from 1 species